rnacentral:miRNA from 1 species
AUUGAACUCAACUGAAUUG